rnacentral:lncRNA from 1 species
UGUUCACUAGUAAGCGAGUGCCUUUUGGUAUAUCGUAGUCACUAACAACACAAUCCUCAAUCGACUCAUGGGGUAGCAUGAGUGGUGCGGCUGGAUAUAAACGCAACGACUCGUUAACAAUAGCUUGAAGAUAAACUAAGUUCUUGAGGUCCGAUUCUUGGACCCAUCUGUUCUUGCCAACAUGAAUGUCUAGCUCAUCUUGGGCCUUUUUAAGGGCUUCGUAGUUGUUUAGGAGUAAAGAUAGAGUCCAUGUUAGAGUUACAAUUGUAGUAUCGGUACCUGCCGAUUGCAUAGCCUGCCAAGCCCAAAAGUUGCAGCAAUUAACUCCACAUUCCACAAUAUAUAGUAAGAAGUAGAAACAAAAUUGGUCUAAGUUAUAUUCACUGACAUUCUAAAUCAGGGAAGAUAUACAGAUUAUGUACAUAUUCGGCACAAGUAAGCAGUUUUAGCCCAAAACAUAUAUGUGCGUUGAGAAAUUUACUAAACAUAUACAUAAUUAACAAACUGUGAAACCACCAGCAAAAAUGGGUUAUUGGUUGAAUGAUGUAUAAAUAAUGUUCAUCGACCACUUUCCGAUCAUGUCUUUGAUCAAUGGAAUUUCAAAUUCUAAAUGUGAAGUUUCAUGAUAAUGAGUAAUGACCAGAAAGUUUACCUAUGACUUUUGAAAUCCCAUGAAAAUGAUCAUUUUUCAACGAUAUGGAUCGAUAAAAUAGUUAGUUGCGAAUUAAGCAGCCAGACAAGUCAGAAAUAGCCAAUUUUCAAUCCAUGCAGUUGAAAAAUAAUUACUAUCGUGGAAUAUGUUAACAUUGUCUAUUUUCAAAGACACGGCUCAAACGCGACUAAUGGCUGUUAUUUCUAAGGCAAAUGAAGGGUUCACAGAAAUCAUGAGCUUCAAAUCCUAAAUAUUUAACCACAAUUGUAAGCGAGGUUUAUAAGAUCAGUUAACUAAAAACGUACCAUACAAGUAGCUUUGAUAACGGCAUCAGCAUCAAAACCAUAAAGAUCUUUAUCUUCACAAAUGGACAACAUGACAUCCAUGAAAUCUUCAUCUCCUGAUUUAUUUCCCUUUAAUUUCCUCUUUCUUUUGUGCUCUGCUAACCAAUCUUCAAGAAUAAUAUCUAUUUCUUUAGCAGUUUCUUUCAUGGCCUUCUCAUGGCCACCAAUAUCCAGCCAUCUUAGAUAAGGUAAAAAAUCAGCCACAAUAAAAACCCCAAAUAAUUCAACAAAUCUCCGAAUUGCUUUGUGAGCCUUACUUCUGUCUUCAUUAUCUGUUGCAUGGGUGGAUCUAACAUUUAAGUUUUAUGGUUUAAAUUUAUUUUAUAUCAGAUCACUUAUAAGUAAUUUCAAGUAAAUCUAUUUAAUAAGCAUUAAUAAGUCAUCUGCUGUGAACCGAAUCAACGAUGAUCACAAAACUCAAAAUUAAGUACCUUUGUAUUGUACUCCAAAUAGGAUCUUCACCAUGGUGUUCAUAAUUAAGUUCCCAAACCAUUCCUUCAUCUCCAUCUUCACAACAUCAUUUAAGUUACUACUCUUAUUCUUGAAACAAUAUUCAUAUGUCUUUUUAACAGCUGAUUUUACUUCAAAUUCUUGAACAUGGCUAAACAUGUCAAUUCGCCGAGCUGAAAGGAACUCAAUUGUGACAAUUUUCCUUAUCUCCCGCCAGUACGGUCCAUAAGGCCCAAGCCCAAACAUGGCAUAAUUGUAGCCUAAGAUCUCUGAAGCUAUGGAUUUUGGCCGAUUUGCAAAUGCCAUAUCGUUUGUGGUGAAACAUUCUCUGGCUAUUUUGUGGUCACUCACAAUUACUACUUGAUUUACGCCCAACUUUAAUCGAAAAAUUGGCCCGUAUUUAUCAGCCAUAUGACCAAAAAUUUUGUGUGGCAUUUGAGAUCCAUUGAGGAGGUGGAGAUGGCCGAUAAUCGGCCAUGCUCCGCCAGCUUCAGGUACCUUUCUACUCUGGCUUUUAGCUGCGAAAAUUAGUUUGUGAAGAAAGAAGGAAAGAAGAAAGGAGAUAGCAAGCGUAAGGACAAUCAGAAAGAAAUCCAUGGCUACAAUCAACUUGUUGUAUGAGCUCACUUGUGUAAUUAUUAAUUAAUACUACUAAAAUUGACAAGAUGACAGGAGGAGGAUGGCCCACACGUUUCCUACAUAUAGAACGAGAACACUCGACUGCCUCCUAACAUUUACCUUAGUACUCAACCUUCAAACCGUUGUUUUGGGUCAGGUACUUAUCUGAAAUUGUGUCAUAGUUAUCUCUACCUCUCCUAGCUUUUACUAUAGUCAACCUCUUGCAUCUCCUAAUAGGCGCAUUUGUUCACCUCCUCUUCACAUGCACAUGUCCAAACCAUCCAAAACUCACUUCCCCAUCUUAUCCACAAUGGAGGCAACUCCCCCCUUGCCUCUUAUAGCUUUCAUUUCUAAUUAUAUCUCUCCUAGUAUGCCACAUAAUCAUCUAAGCAUCCCCAUCUCCGAUACCCCUAUUUUUUGAAUUGUGCGGUCUUGACUAUCCAAUACUUUACCCCAUUUAAUACUGUCAGUCUAAUCACUAUUCUAUAGAACUUACCUUUAAAUUAAUCUUGAAUACACAUUAGCAGGACUUAUAAGUUGGACAGUCAACAAUAGCCACAUUCAUGAGAUAAGAUAACAAAGAUAAAAAUGCCCAAAUGAGUGUGUGGACAUACUAAAGUCAAUCAUCCAAAAUGUCACGAUCGCAUUCUAAUCAAACUGCAUUAAAGUUUAGACUAAAAUUGAUUGUGUAUCUGACUUUAUAGAUGCAUAAAUUUUCUCAAAAUUUUCAAUCGUACACAUACAUGUGUUUGUAUUCUAGUGGGAGAAAAAUGACCCAAUAUAGGAUGAAAAUGAUUCCCACCAUAUGUUCCAGCCUUUAAAGACUUCAAAAACUUCUUAUUGAUACAUAUAAUAUCGUAGGGAAAAUGACAUUUUGAUCCCUCAUAAUUUUUCGGAGUUAGAGUUGGAUUUGUGUUUGACCAUGAAUAUAAAUUAAAGUUAUUUUUGAAAUUUUGUGAGAGAAGUAUGAGUAAAAAAAUUAAAAACAAGUAAAACUUGUCUAACUUUUUCCAAAUAUAAUUUUGUAACGCCCGUAGUUUUCUCGACUUGAUAUCACUUCAUAGUAUGCUUGGAGGGUCAAUCUUCUGAAAAUUUUUCUAAGUGUCAAAAGGACUUAGUCACAUUUUGAACCCCUAACCUUUGAUAAUUUUAUUUUCAACCUUUUCGACCUCGAAAAGUUAAUUUUCAAGUUGAUUCAUGAUUGGGGAAGUUAAUAGUACAAUUUGGGUAAGUUUUGAAAUUUUCGGACAUCGUUAGAGGUGUAUUUGGGUGUUUGAAGCAGUCGCCUGAUGCGAAGUCGGCGCGCCGCGUCGAUGAUAGCGUUGAUGAAACAGUGGACCGACGCGAUCUCAACGCGUCGAUGCCCAGUUUGCGUUUUUUAAAAUAAUAACCGGACUUGAGGAGGGCGUUAUAGUCUUUUCCUCGCCCUAUCUCUACCAUAACACGAAAUUAAAGUGUCAUUGGAGCAAAAUACAUCAGAAAAACUACUUCCCUCUCUAAUCAAAACCCUAGUCCCUCCCCCAUAGAUCAAGAGUUCAUCUUUGAAGUCAAGAAUUUCAAGGAAACUUGAGCAAGAUUUGGUUUCCACUCUUCCUCUUAAGUGAUCUAAGAUACAUGGGGUUUUCCUAAAACUACAUGGGCAUGGUGUAAUUGUUUUAAUGAUGAAUAAAUGUUUAGAAAUCAGGAACUUACAAAGGGGUUUUAGAUUUACAAUUACAUUUAUGGAUUAUGAAACCGUAUUGAUGAUAAUGUUUUGGUCUUGAGGCCUUUUCCCCAACAUUGAUUUAUAACCAUGUAUAAGUAUAUAUGUAUAUGUGUUUGAAGAGUUUGAAUGAGGAAUUGAGAGCAUGACCUAGUAGAAAUCCCUCUCUUGUUUACAAACAUCUUGUUUUCGUAAGAUUUGAGUUAUUCGAAAUGCAUUGUUGGGAUUGAAGAGAGAGGGUUUUAAUGUUGAUAAAUGCCGAAAAUUUAUAAUGAAAGAAUUGCAUGGUUUUGCCAAAAAUACAUAACCACCACAUGUUUGUUGGAAUUGUUGAAAAGAUGAGAAUCUUUGCAUGGUCUUGACUUAUGUUUUGAAAUAUGAAUUCUCUUAUACUUGUCUGAAUGUCUUGGUGGUCUGAACAUUGUUUUAAGUGAAAGAAUCUUGCAUGAUGAUACCUUAUGGCUCAGAUAUAUGACUUGCAAGUCUUGGUAUGACUGCCAAAUUCAGAUAAUGCCAUAGCAGAAUUAGAACAGAUUAAAGAUACAGAUUUUUGCUUAGAAUUUUCAGAAUUUGCUUUCAGAAAGAUGCAUGUUUAGAACAUACUAAAAAUGGGCUUAAGAGAUGUUAGGUGGUUGCCUGAAGAAGGCAUGGGCCAUAAAACUCAUUGUCCAAAAUCGUGUUUUGCUGAUACGGGUAAUUUAUUAUUGUACGCUGGCGACAGCCCUAGGGCGUAGCAGAUUCAGAUACUCCAAUCCUUGUGACAAACUUAGGUUGGGGACUUGGCCGCCAAGAUAAGGGCGGAUCCCAUAUAGCCCGUGGGGUAGCAGAUAUGUAGGGUAUACCACCUAGUUUAAAAGUAAUACAAAGUAUAGAGUUGCAUUAACAAGACUGUGUUAAGAUCUUUUGAGAUGGCCCAUGGGAUUUUAAAACUACUCAUACAUGAUAUUUUUAUGACUUGCUCUCACCUAUAUUUUAUAUGUAUAAAUUCACUAUUUUGGAUUGCCCUGCAUACCAGUACAAUUGUAUUGACCCCCUAUAUUUCAGGAUCUGAGGCUCAGUCUAGAGGUCCUGCUAAGCCGUAGACUUAUUCAGACAAGAUUGAAGUGUGCAGUUGGUGAGUCUUCUUUAUUCUGGGAGGCCCAGUCCUUUUUCAGAUAUUUGCUAUUUAUUUUGGUAUUGGUCCACUGGGGGCCUUGUCUCGGUUUCAGACAGUUUAUUUAUUUCAUAUGUAGUAGAGAUUUUGUAGACUAAAUAAGAUGUUGUCUAGAUGUUGAUUUUUCUUACUUCCGUACUGUUAAACAGAAAUUAGAUUAUGACCAUGUUUCCGUAUUGUUUUGUAUUUUCGCGUUUUGUCCUUGUAUAUGAAUGGUGUAUGUGAUUACAAGUUAGAAGGGCUUACGGGCCUUCAUGAUUCGGGAUGCCCGUUACGCCAAGGCUCCGGUUCGGGCCGUGAAAAAUUUUUAAAUUUAUAUUUAUAAUUUUCAUGGCCAAACGGCUACUUAGUACCUGUUGUACUCCAAAUAGCAUCUUCACCAUAGUGUUCAUAAUUAAAUUCCCAAACCAUUCCUUCAUCUCCAUCUUCACAGCACCUUACUACUCUUAUUCUUCAACCAAUAUUAAAUCUCUUUAAUAGCUGAUUUUACUUCUAAUACUCGAAUGUGGCCAAACAUUUCAAUUCUCCAAACUGAAAGUAAUUCAACGGUGACUAUCUUCCUCAUCUCACGCCAGUACGGUCCAUAAGGUACAAACGCAAACAUGACAUUAUUAUAGCCUAAGAUCCCAGAAGCUAUAUGUUUAGGCCAAUUCGCAAAGGCCAUAUCGUUUGUUGUGAAGCGUUCUUUGGCUAUUUUGUGAUCACUCACUAUUACUACGUAAUUUACUCGCAGCUUUAAUUGGAAAAUAGACCCAUAUUUAUCUGCCAUAUGAACGAAAAUUUUGUGUGCCAUUUGAGGUCCAUUGGGGAGGUGGAGAUGACCGAUGAUAAGCCAUGCUCCUGCAGGUUCUGGUAUAUUUCUACUCUGCCUUUUAGACGACAAUAAUAGUUUGUGAAGAAAGAUGAAAAGAAGGAAGGAUAUAGCUAGUGUAAGGACAAUCAGAGAUAAAUCCAUGGCUAUGAUCAAUUUGUUAAGUGGUCAGUACUAGUUAAAUAAAUAUAUGACACCCGGCAUUUUUGGGCUAGAAUUCAAACCGUUGUUUCUACGCGUAUAGACCCGAACCCAAUGAUUCCUUGUUAAUAUAUGUGUGAUGAUCAAUUCUAUAGUGUGAAAAUACUUUUGAAUAUGAAUUAAGGUCACAAAAAUCUCCAAACUCAAAGACGAAUUGAGAACUUUUCUACCGAUUAAAAUUUAGUGAAUGUUUCAAUUUAGGUCAACUUUCAAUGACCAUUAUUUCUAGAAUAUUUUGAUUUAGGAGGCCUACUAUAUAUAAAAUGAAAGAUCCAUGAGUCUUCUUUCUAACGCAUCUAAUUUCACCUUAAUCCGAUAUCGGAGUAGAAUCGGAGUAGAAAAUUAUACUCAUUUUACUUCUAAGUGUCUGUUUGUCAACCAUGACAAGCCGUCACUUAGGUGACGACUAAGCUAACGAACCGUCAACUAAGUGACGAGCCAUCAGCUCUAAUCAUCAGACUAGGUCAGUAAAUGGUAAAUCCAACCUGAAAGUGACGACUAGGGUGACAAGCCUUCACCUAACUGACGGGCCGUCAACCUUGUUGUCAACUGAAGAAUUUCUGCAAUUUUUUUUUGGUUUCUUUAGGGGUAUUUUGGUCUUUUCCUCACCCAAAAUCCUACCCUCACGAUUUAAAACAUUCUUUAAACAUUGUUUUUCCAUUAUAUGUCAGUUUCUCAUCUCUCCUUCUCCUCUCCACUCUAAAGAGAAAGAAAAAUUAGGAUUUCUUCCAAGGCUCACAAUUUCAAUACUAGAUUUCAAGCUAGUUCUAAUAUUUGUUCAUCUAAAAGGUAUGUGGAACUAUCCUAUAUUUCAUGGGUGUAAUUUUACGGUUUUAACAAAUUUUAAAGAUAUAUAUAUAUAUAUAUAUAUAUAAUGGAUUUGGAGAUAUCGUUUAAGAGCAUGCAUCAUAAAACCAUUUUGAUGAAAGUACGUAAUUAUCAUGGGUUUUUUCCAUAAGCUUGAUUUAUAAUCUUGUGCAUACAUGAUUUGAGUUUGAAAAGUGAUUUGUAAAUGUGACUUAUGAAAUUUCCUUCCCCGUGAUGAAAUUUAUGGUCUUUACAUGGUUUGAAUUGUGAAUUGGAUUUGAGAGCAUGAAUUAUAAGCUCUUUUUUUAUCAUGAGAUUUAUGUAUAACUAUGUUGGGGCUGGUUUAUGAAUGAUGAUAAUUCAUGAGUUUUAAUUGUCUCUUUAACCAUUAUACAUUGUUGUUUUGCACGUUUUUAAAGGGGUAUUUCUUAUGCUAAAGGCUCUUGUGUAUUAACUGAAAGAAAUGCAUGUGUUGAAUAAAAGAAUUGGCCACCAUGUUCAAGACUUGAAAUGAUAGUAUGUUGCAUAAGUUUUCAUAUGCUUUUGAAAUAAGAACUCACAUGUGAUGUUUAAAUAUUUUGGUAGUUAUAACAUGAUUCUUGAAUGAAAGGACUGUGGAUAUGAUAUGAUAUGACUUGCAAGUCUAGAUAUGACGAUACAUAUUACGAAAUGCCUUUAGCAUGACAACAAAUUAUGUUAUAAGCAUGAAGCAUGAUUUUAAAGAACAAAAAAUGGGCUUAAAGAACGUUAGAUAGCUACCCUAAGAAGGCACAAGUUCAGAUAAUCCAUAGCCCGAAAUUAUAUUUUACUGAUGCGGGUUUCAUGGUGUGUAUGUUAGUAAGGAGGCAUAUAUUUUUCAUGAUAAGUAUGUCAGUAAGGAGGCAUAUAUUUUUCAUGAUAUGUAUGUUAGUAAGGAGGCAUACUUUUCAUAACAUGGUGUGUCAGUAAGGAGGCAUACCUUGUUUUAUUACAGACCCCAACUCUUGCGACAAACUUGGGUUGGAGAUUUGACCGCCGAAUUAAGAGAGGAUUUUAUAUAGCCCAUGAAAUUAUAGAAAUGUAGGGUGUACCAUCUAACUCAGAAGUAUGGAAACAGUUGAGUCAUGAUUACAAGAAAAUAUUUGUUUUCAUUUACCUUAUGCUAAAUUGCUUUAUGAAAUGCUCUCACUUUUGUUGUAUAAAAAUAUCUGUUCUAUUUUUGAAUUGUUCUACAUACCAGUACUUUCGAGUAUUGACCCCCUAUAUUUCAUGUUCUGAGGCACAGUUUUGUGGUCCCAUCAACCAGUAGUUUAUUUCCAGAUAUUCAGAGUUGGUGAGCCUCCCUUACUUCGGAAGACAUAUCUUCUAUGUGUGGUUUCCUUUUUAAUUUUAUGGUUUGGCCGGGGACCUUACCGGACUUAGACAGACUAGUAUGCUCAGUUCAGUAGAGGCUUCGUAGACUGUGUUACAUUGUAUUUGGAUUUUUCUUAUGCAUGGUUUUAUGUUAUAAAAUUUUAAGUUUGGUCUGAGACUACCAUGUUUUCAAUUUAUCUUCCGCACUUUUACACCAUAUAAGUUAUGCUUAUGAUUUCAUGUUAAGGGGUCUCUCGGACUUUCAUGGUUCGGGAUGCCCCCUGCGGUCAGGGCCUCGAUUCGGACCGUGACAAGAUAACUCGCUCCAUGCAUCAUUAAUUAUCUUCGGAAAAUCAAGAGAUAAUUCUACUCUCUCCUUUUAUAUUGGUUGACACUCUUGCUAAAAGUAUUUAUUUCAUUUUAGUUGUUCAAAUUCUGAAAUUAAGAGAAUUUUAUUGUAUUUUUUCAAUAUUAUCCCUAUCAUUAAAUGACUAUGUAAAGUGUAUAUAAUUAAAUUUAUAUUUUCAAUACAUAAUUAAUAGUGUUACUUUAGUAAAAUAAACAUCUAUUAAAUAUUUUUUAAAGGGAGUGCCAAGUCAAUAAGGCCAACUAAAACGAAAUAGAGCGAGUAUUAUACUUUUAUUAUUAAAUACGAUUUAUUUCAUAGUAAAGUAUAAUUAAUAUGGGUGAUAUAAUGAAAUAAACAAGUAAAAGAUGGGCGGCGGACUAGAGAAAAUGAUGAAAUAUGCCAUUGAAUUAUCAGAAAUGACUCAUUUAUGCCAUCAGUUAAAAGUUUGACUCAUUCAUGCCAUUACCGUUACAAAACCAGCUCAUCCAUGCCAUUUUUUUUUAACAGAAGGUUUUCAAAAAUAGCUUUGCCAUAUGACCUUUUAUUAGAGGUCCAUAUCAUUAAUUAAAAUAAGAGAAAAGGCUCAAAUAUGCUAUUCAACUAUCAGAAAUGACUCAUUUAUGCCAUCAGUUAAAAGUUCGGCUAAUUCAUGCUAUCGCCGUUAUAAAAUCAGCUCAUCCAUGCAAUUACUUUUUAACGGUGAGUUUUCAAAAAUAAUUUUUUUUCACAUGACCUUUAAUUAGAGAUUCACGUCAUUAAUUAAAAUAAAUUUAUAUUAAUUUCAAAAUAUCUGAAAUUAGUUAGUAUCGAGAUUAUUUGUCCCACCAUUUAUAUCAUAGUUAUGGAAUAAGUUAUUCCAUAUAAAUGACGGAAUAAUUGGGAUAGCGGACUUCUUUUAAGACGUUAUUCAGAAAUGAUUUUUCAACAAUGUAUGCUCUCCAAAUUCGUGAUGGGAGGAUGGAGAAGUUUUAUUGAUACGCCUCUUCUUUUUCUUGCUUUCUCUAAUAGUUCAUUGACUUCUUUUCUUGCAACUUCGAAGUAUAGGAGUCACUGUAAUUACAACUAAUCAGUUACUAUAGGAUAAAUUUUCUUUUACAGUAGGAUAGAACUUUUGGGCUUCAGUAAAGCCUAACAUUUGAAAUGGUUUAAAAUCAACAAGAAACAGCCAAAGGAUAUACACUAAUCACUAUUUUUUUUUAUUAGAAAAAUAGUUGUUGUUGUAAAACAAAAAUACUUUAAUGGUUGUGGAUUGGGUUUAUUUUAAUGGAUCGAUUCUUUUUAAUUUUUAAUGGGUCUAAGAUAUUUUGAAAUUAAUAUUAGUUUAUUUUAAUUAAUGAAGUGUACCUAUACUAAAAAACCACGUCAAAUAUCUGUUUUUAUAAACCCACCAUUAAAAGGCAAUCACAUGGAUGAACUGAUUUUAUAAUGACGAUGACACAAAUUAUUAACCGAACUUUUAACUAAUGAUAUAAUGAAUCAUUUCUGACAGUUCAAUGGCAUAUUUGAGCCUUUUUCUUUAAAAUAUUUUUGGCUCAUUUAAUUAAUGACGUGGACAAAUCAUUGUUGACUACGUGUACAAAAUGAUUUUGCCAAAAAUCACCAAAUUAGACUGUUAAAAAAAUGGCAUGAAUGAGCAUAUUUUGUAACGGUAAUGACAUGAAUGAGUCAAACUUUAAACCAGAUGUUAUAGAUGAACCUUUUCUCAAAGCUCGAUGACAUAUUUGUGCCUUUUUCCAAUAUAAAAAGACAAGAUUAGGUGUAGAAUUUGUAUUCAAUCAACAAAGAACUAAAAUUGCAUUAAGGGAGAGUGGUGGCGACUAGUACUCAAUAGUCGCAACAUGUUUUUUUUUUUUUUGACUGAGGGUGACAUGAUUUCAAAUUUGACGUUGAAUUUAUGGAGAUAUUAUAUAUAAAAAGUCUAUUUGGUUUUAGUAGUUAUUGUUAAAAGUUGAAAGAAAUUUGAAGAUGAUUGCGAAAAAUUUAAAUGAUAAUUGAAAUCCAGCACUAAGCCGACUUCAAAUCAUCUCAAUAAGGUACAAGUUUAAAUAAGAUACCAAAUAAUAAAGUGAUCCUAAAUAAGAUAGGAUACUCUUAAAUAAGGUACAAGAUAUUAGAGAUAGUAGAUUAACCGCAUUGACCUCGCACGUGUAACAUUUAAUUAUUUAAAAUUAAAUAAUUUUAUCUAUUGCGAAGAUUUUUAAUAAAGUGUAAAAGUUUAAAACACUUUUUAAAGAUUCUACAUACUUUAAUAUAAUAAUAUAAAUAUAAGCAUAAAUUUUAGUGUAAGCAUAUAUAUAUUUUACCACCAGAAGUUCUAAGUAGUUGAUGGAUCAUCACUUUUGCGUUUAUCAUUCAGUACCACUUUUCCGUGCUGUCAGAGGCUAAGAGAGACGCAUCAAUUUGAAUCAUAUUUGUUGUACGAUUAUUUUUUUUACAUAUUUAAAAUCUUUCUUCUUUAGAAAGUCAAUGUGUCAGAUAUUUUUUUUUUUUCUAUAUUUAAAAUCUUUCCUUAUUAUUUUUUUUGAUCGAACAAUCCAUCUUAUUCCACAUAAAACCAAGUCUCAAUUACAACUCAACUCAUAGCUAUUUGCAACUUCACUACCAAACCCAAAAUUAAACUAUAUUUAUCUAUACAAAAUUAUGGAUUACAUUUUUAUUAGGUACUUAAGAAAUUUUAAAAUUUGACACUUUUUAAAUUUUUCUUAUUCUAACGCUUUUAUAUUUAUUUCUAGAUUUUUCAAAUCUUAUUAAAAUCAAAUUUAGUUGAUUUAAAAUUCUUAAACUGAUGGAAAAAGUAAUAGUUGUCACUAAUUCUGAUGAUUUCUAAUAAAGAAAGGUUUUACCUUAAAUACAUUUAGUGAAUUUUUAACUCUUAAAUAUUAAAAAAAAAUAAUGAAAAGACGAUUUUGUCUAAAUCAAAGACUUUUAAUAAAGGGCAAAAAGUUGAAACGAUAUUUCUAAAACUCUUCACACUUUUUAUAUAUUAUAGAUAUAGAUAUAGAUUAUAAAUUAUAGAUAAUAUAAGGGUUUACUUAAGAUGUACAAAAGGAAUGAAAUAAUAUAUAAGAAUUUUUUAAAUUUGGACUGAAAUCAACAUGUUGAGGUUGUUGAAACUAAAGAUGACCUAAACUUUAUAGUGUAGCAGACAAAUAUACAAUGAAAUGAAACAGGUGAAUCAACCCGUUCUAAUAAACAAAUACAACAACAUUCAAAUAGUUAUUUUACUAGAUUUCUUUCUCUUUCUAUAGUGGAGAUAGUCCACAUAAUGAUACAUCAUGUCCAUUUUAUUUUUCUGUCUAUAUAUUAUUUUCAGGCAUCUUUAUAUGUAAACAUAAUAAUCUUAUGUAAACAGACAAAACUACACACAACAUUGUAACUAUUGAAUAAUUAUACUUAAUUAUAACCUUACUUUACAAGAAAAGAUAAUUAUUUCAUUUGUAAAGAUUAAAAUCCAAGCGUGGAGUAAGGUGAACUUUGAGUGGAAAAACUUUGAGGAUUGUCAAUCCAAAGCUCUCACUCAUAUCAAUUGGUUAGGUCUCGUAAUUUUAAACCCCUACAGUAGCACAGCCAUCACAUAUUGCACAACUUGAAGGCCUAAAGAAACUCCAGGGCACAUUCUUCUUCCUCUACCAAACGGCAUCAACUCAAAGUGAUUCCCUCUUACAUUGACAUCCUUAUGAGUUGUCAAGAACCUCUCGGGCUUAAACUCAUGCGGAUUUGGCCAAAUAUCCGGAUCAAAAUGAAAUUUCCAUAUGUUCACUAGUAAGCGAGUGCCUUUUGGUAUAUCGUAGCCACAAACAACACAACCCUCAAUCGACUCAUGGGGUAGCAAGAGUGGUGCAGCUGAAUAUAAACGCAACGAUUCAUUAACAAUAGCUUGAAGAUAAACUAAGUUCUUGAGGUCCGAUUCUUGGACCCAUCUGUUCUUGCCAACAUGAAUGUCUAGCUCAUCUUGGGCCUUUUUAAGGGCUUCGUAGUUGUUUAGGAGUAAAGAUAGAGUCCAUGUUAGAGUUACAAUUGUAGUAUCAGUACCUGCCGAUUGCAUA